GCCUUCAUAGUGUAGUGGUCAGCACGCUGGGUGUACAUUCGAGAGGUCCGUGGUUCGAGUCCCAGUGAGGGCA
rnacentral:tRNA from 1 species